CAGACAAGACUGUUAUACCC
rnacentral:miRNA from 1 species